rnacentral:misc_RNA from 1 species
AUUUGCCGUUUCAACUGCAGCCUGUAAGCGGCACAAGGAAACAUUCAACCUGUGGUGAUUUUUCCAAUCAAUAUGCAGCUAUGUGUGAUCUCUGCCAAACACCAUUUAGGGCUGAAGUAGCCUGGGAUAUAGAUACAAUAUAUUUGGCCCAUGAUAUCCGAAUGUUACAUCUAAAAGAUUUUGAUCAUUUGGAACAGAGAGACCUGAUCCCGUUGAUAAUAGCGCUUCAGCACAACACGUGGUUCAAGGGCGUUUGCGGGGACGGGGUGCGGGCGGGGGGCGAGGCGUGGGAAAGCGUGUGUCGCCUUCUGCGAUGUGCCUCGCCCGCCCCGCAGAAACUAAGUUGGAGAGCUGCGGCACUUAGGCAUGAUCACGCUGCGAGACUGGGGCACGCGCUAGUGAGAGCCAGGCAUCCGCCAGCUAUGCACACUAUUGAUCUGUCGCAGAACCAUAUCGAGGAUAAAGGUGCUAUUAGUGUUUUAACUGGUCUGGCGAACAAUACGGACGGUUUGCAGUACAUCGCGCUCUCUCAGUGCGGCGUCACCGGUAAGACUGUGACGCACCUGGCUUCUAUGCUGAACGACAACAUGAACCAUCUACAAACUUUGUCGCAUUUGGAUCUGUCCCAUAAUAAUUUGAAGGAUGAUGUGCAUAACCUGUACAAUUUUCUCGCUCAACCCAACGUUUUGACGCAUUUAAAUUUGACUAACACUGAGACUACGUUAGAAAAUAUGUGGGGAGCACUUCUCCGCGGGUGUGCGGCGCGUCUUUCGGUACUACGCGCUGGUCGCAACCCGUGGUCGGUGUCGCGGCGAGCCAAGGACCCGCCGCCCUCCUUCCGGCAGUUCUUCACCGCGUGCCUCGCGCUCACCGACCUCGACUUCUCCUACUGCAAGAUGCCGCCCGACGCUCUCAAGAGCUUACUCCUCGGGCUGGCGUGCAACGAAAGUGCAACUGGCGUUCAAUUAAACCUCUCCGGCGUGCUAUCAUCAUCGCAGGCCGCCCACGUGUUGGAGUCCUGCAUACACGGCGUGAGGUGCCUGCAGUCGCUGGACUUGUCAGACAAUAGUAUGGAAUUUGAAUUAUCAGGAAUAGUGAGAGCGAUUGGCAAAAACCAUUCAAUUACCCAUUUAUCGUUAAGCAAACUGACUGGAAAGCGAUCUUAUGCUCCGCCUUUAAUACAAGCCUUAGUUCAUGUGCUACAAGAACCGGACACUGCCUUGACUUCGUUAGACCUGAGUGAUUGUAAAUUAAAGGCUGAUCUGUAUGGGCUACUGAAUGCGCUGGGCGGGGCCCGUCGCUUGCGUUCCCUGGACGUUGGCGGGAACAUGGCCGGGGACGCCGGGGCAAGACUCCUGGCUAAAGCGCUGCAGUGCAACUGUACGCUACACACCCUGUAUAUAGACCGGAAUGCCUUCAGUUUGCAAGGUCUGACGGACAUCGCGACGGCGCUGCGGCGGUCGGUGAGCGUGCGGCGCGUGGAGUUCCCGGGCUGCGACGCGGCGUGCGGCGGCCGCGGCGCCAGCGAGCGCGUCGCCGUGCUGUGGCGCGAGCUGCACGAGAGAUUGGCGAACAACAGCACGCCAUCGCAAGCACACACGCUUCGCGCGCUCGCAUUGGAACGCGCGUGGGCCGGAGGCGAAGCUGCAGCAGCUUUAGCGGCUCAAGCGGCCGCCGCACUGCCGCCGCAGCCGCUGCCUGCAGCGCUCGAGCGCGCCGCGGCCGCCGCUCACCAUCUACUGCAUCAGUACCUGCAGCGAUGCGGCGAAGUGUUCGCGGCGAUGGGCGGCGUGAACUCCAGCGGAGAGAUCGUGUCGCUGCAAGCCGUUAGAGAUGCAAUGGCGCCUUGUUCUGGGACGCUACAAGAUUUGCUCAACUCGGCAGUGUCCCGGCUGGCGCUGGCCGCGUGCGAGACGCUGGAGGGCGGCGACGGCGACGCGCACGCGGGCCCGCACGUGCCCGACCUGCUCACCGCCGUGGCCCACUCCGCGGCCACACCGUUGGGUUGUCGUCGUCGCGAGCGCGGUACCCGCCGCGUUCGCCCUAAAUCUGUAGCGGAGCAGCAGUGCAGCAGCAACGAGAUGCUGUCGCUGCCGCCGCUGCACGCGGAGGCCGCGGACGCGCUCGCCGACCUCCCCGCGCACACGCUGCGGCACCUCGUCAAAGGUCGACCACGUCGCACGAAGACUAGAGCGCCAACACGACCGAUCACAGAUCAAUCACAAGACAUAGAUGAAGGCCUGGAAGAGUUCUGGCGCACAUGCCGCACGCCGCCGGGCAGCGAGGAGGCGUCGCUGUCGGCGCGCACGCCGCUCACGUCGCGCUCGCUGCACUCGCUGUCGUCGCUGGCGUCGCCGUCGCCGCUCCGGCACUCGCCCACGCUGCAGCGAGACGACACUAUGUAUAGCGUUACAUCUGGUGAAAGCACACCCGUAUUAUUAGAAUGUGAGGUGUCGCGGUGCAAGUCUUCCGACAACGUGGGAGUGAAGCCGGCGACCACGCCGCCCCCGUCACGGUCUUCCGACAACGUCAACACCAUGGGCAACGGAUGCGCACGCGCCGCCGGCAAGGCGAGGCCCUGGUCCGUCGCCGGGCUCAACCCCGACUCCACAGCCUGCACCACAGAAGGCGUGGAGGCGUGCGUCGGCGGCAGCAUAGUGGGCAUCACGCCGGGCGCCGCACUAACCAGUAACCAACUUUCUGACGCUAUUCUGUACUGAAUUAGCCGCUAGUCCAUGUGCAAAGCUAUUUAUAGGCUCAAUGUUGCGAGAUCAUCCAUUAACUCCUGAAGGCGCUGAAGCUUAGGCUAGCAGCUACUUGCGCAGUCCAGCAAAGUGAUAAGAUGAGCAGGGUUAAAUGUCCAGAUAUUUCGCUAAACGGAUUUUAUUAUCGGAUGCUCACUAUUGUGCCAGUUAAGAUUUUAACUUUUAGCAGUAAAAUAGUUACUGGUUAGUAUUCUUAGAGUAUAAAACGCCAUUUUAGUUAUUACUACUACUAACUUACGGUUAAUUUUUGACAUAAAUUGAGAAUGAAUUGUUGGUAAGCCGUCAUAAUAAUUCAACAUAUUUGUAGAAUUACGAAGUUUAUAAAGUGUAAUAAUCCUUUCUAUUUACUGUGAUUUGUUUAGUAUUAUACAUACCUAUAUUGGAUUUAUUUAGUCACUAAUAUUAUUAAAGUUGUGUUUAUCAAUUUGCAGUGGUCAUUAUAAGAUAGACCACUGUGCCAAUUAUGUAUUUUAGUUUUACUUGAAAAAAUGAUUUAUUUUUUGUUCAAAAAACCCGAUUCAUGAACAUUUCUAAAAUAAAGGUAUAUAUAUAUAUUAUCAGAUUUGAUUUGAUUGGUCUUACCUAGUCAUGUUAUGAAGGCCUAUUUUUACGCACAAUUCCCUCUAUGGUAUUAUAUAAGUGUAAAAAGCAUUUUUAAAAUUUCAAUGACAGAUAUCUUCCACUUUAACAUUCCUUUUCUUGUAAAUUAGGAAAUGGAUUAAAAAUAAUUAACAAGUGUGAUUUUUAAAAUGAAGUUCAAAAUGUAAGGUGAAUUUUAGUAUAGCAUCUUUCUCAGUGAUGUAAUGUUCAAUUUUACGAUAUUGUGGUAUGUAUUGUAUAUGUAGAAGAUGCCCCAUAAAUUUUAAGUGUUCAUUAGAGUAACUAAUUGUAAAGGUUUCGUUCAUUUACCUAUUAAAUAUUUCGUUUAAUUGGAAUUUCUCAUUGUAAAUUUACUGAUUAUAAGUAGAUGUAUAGUAUAUAUGGCUAAAAUUAUUUCAUAGUAUUUUUAUAUUCAUUCCAAUUUAGUUAAUCUUACCUGCUCUUUGGUACCAGACUGAUUUUAAGGUACUUUUAUUUAUGGUGCAAUUUAUUCUAGAGCGUUGUGAUAAUCUGUUUUAAAUUACAUACAACAAUA